rnacentral:rRNA from 1 species
CGCAGCAGGCGCGAAACCUCCGCAAUGCGGGAAACCGCGACGGGGUCAGCCGGAGUGCCGGUGCAUUGCACCGGCUGUCGGGGAGCCUAAACAGCUCCCCACAGCAAGGGCCGGGCAAGGCCGGUGGCAGCCGCCGCGGUAAUACCGGCGGCCCGAGUGGCGGCCACUAUUAUUGGGCCUAAAGCGUCCGUAGCCGGGCUGGUAAGUCCCCCGGGAAAUCUGGCGGCUUAACCGUCAGAAUUCCGGGGGAUACUGCCAGCCUAGGGACCGGGAGAGGCCGGGGGAAUUCCCGGGGUAGGGGUGAAAUCCUAUAAUCCCGGGAGGACCACCUGUGGCGAAGGCGCCCGGCUGGAACGGGUCCGACGGUGAGGGACGAAGGCCAGGGGAGCGAACCGGAUUAGAUACCCGGGUAGUCCUGGCUGUAAACGAUGCGGGCUAGGUGUCGGGCCAGCCACGAGCUGGCCCGGUGCCGGAGGGAAGCCGUUAAGCCCGCCGCCUGGGGAGUACGGCCGCAAGGCUGAAACUUAAAGGAAUUGGCGGGGGAGCACGACAACGGGUGGAGCCUGCGGUUUAAUUGGAUUCAACGCCGGG